rnacentral:tRNA from 1 species
GCGGGCAUAGCUCAGUGGUAGAGCGUCUCGUUGCCAACGAGAAGGUCGAGGGUUCGAGUCCCUUUGCCCGCUCCA